rnacentral:rRNA from 1 species
GAUGAACGCUGGCGGCGUGCCUAAUACAUGCAAGUCGAGCGAACAGACGAGGAGCUUGCUCCUCUGACGUUAGCGGCGGACGGGUGAGUAACACGUGGAUAACCUACCUAUAAGACUGGGAUAACUUCGGGAAACCGGAGCUAAUACCGGAUAAUAUAUUGAACCGCAUGGUUCAAUAGUGAAAGACGGUUUUGCUGUCACUUAUAGAUGGAUCCGCGCCGCAUUAGCUAGUUGGUAAGGUAACGGCUUACCAAGGCAACGAUGCGUAGCCGACCUGAGAGGGUGAUCGGCCACACUGGAACUGAGACACGGUCCAGACUCCUACGGGAGGCAGCAGUAGGGAAUCUUCCGCAAAGGGCGAAAGCUUGACGGAGCAACGCCGCGUGAGUGAUGAAAGUCUUCGGAUCGUAAAACUCUGUUAUUAGGGAAGAACAAAUGUGUAAGUAACUAUGCACGUCUUGACGGUACCUAAUCAGAAAGCCACGGCUAACUACGUG